rnacentral:rRNA from 1 species
CCGAGCGGCGGACGGGUGAGUAACGCGUGGGUAACCUGCCUCAUACAGGGGGAUAACAGUCAGAAAUGACUGCUAAUACCGCAUAAGACCACGGUACCGCAUGGUACAGUGGUAAAAACUCCGGUGGUAUGAGAUGGACCCGCGUCUGAUUAGGUAGUUGGUGGGGUAACGGCCUACCAAGCCGACGAUCAGUAGCCGACCUGAGAGGGUGACCGGCCACAUUGGGACUGAGACACGGCCCAG